AGAGUUUGAUCCUGGCUCAGGAUGAACGCUGGCGGCGUGCUUAACACAUGCAAGUCGAACGGUGAACACGGAGCUUGCUCUGUGGGAUCAGUGGCGAACGGGUGAGUAACACGUGAGCAACCUACCCCUGACUCUGGGAUAAGCGCUGGAAACGGCGUCUAAUACUGGAUACGAGUGGCGACCGCAUGGUCAGCUACUGGAAAGAUUUAUUGGUUGGGGAUGGGCUCGCGGCCUAUCAGCUUGUUGGUGAGGUAAUGGCUCACCAAGGCGUCGACGGGUAGCCGGCCUGAGAGGGUGACCGGCCACACUGGGACUGAGACACGGCCCAGACUCCUACGGGAGGCAGCAGUGGGGAAUAUUGCACAAUGGGCGCAAGCCUGAUGCAGCAACGCCGCGUGAGGGAUGACGGCCUUCGGGUUGUAAACCUCUUUUAGCAGGGAAGAAGCGAAAGUGACGGUACCUGCAGAAAAAGCGCCGGCUAACUACGUGCCAGCAGCCGCGGUAAUACGUAGGGCGCAAGCGUUAUCCGGAAUUAUUGGGCGUAAAGAGCUCGUAGGCGGUUUGUCGCGUCUGCUGUGAAAUCCGGAGGCUCAACCUCCGGCCUGCAGUGGGUACGGGCAGACUAGAGUGCGGUAGGGGAGAUUGGAAUUCCUGGUGUAGCGGUGGAAUGCGCAGAUAUCAGGAGGAACACCGAUGGCGAAGGCAG
rnacentral:rRNA from 1 species